ACUCCUACGGGAGGCAGCAGUGGGGAAUAUUGGACAAUGGGGGCAACCCUGAUCCAGCAAUGCCGCGUGUGUGAAGAAGGCCUGCGGGUUGUAAAGCACUUUCGUUGGGGAGGAAAGGCUCGGUGUUAAUAUCGCCGAGAGAUGACGUUACCCAAAAAAGAAGCACCGGCUAACUCUGUGCCAGCAGCCGCGGUAAUACAGAGGGUGCGAGCGUUAAUCGGAAUUACUGGGCGUAAAGCGCGCGUAGGUGGAUGAGUAAGUUGGCUGUGAAAGCCCCGAGCUUAACUUGGGAAGGCCAGCCAAAACUGCUUGUCUAGAGUACAGUAGAGGAAAGUGGAAUUUCAGGUGUAGCGGUGAAAUGCGUAGAUAUCUGAAGGAACACCAGUGGCGAAGGCGACUUUCUGGACUGAUACUGACACUGAGGCGCGAAAGCGUGGGGAGCAAACAGGAUUAGAUACCCUGGUAGGCUCUGCU
rnacentral:rRNA from 1 species